rnacentral:rRNA from 1 species
UACCAGCACCCCGAGUGGUCGGGACGUUUAUUGGGCCUAAAGCAUCCGUAGCCGGUUCUACAAGUCUUCCGUUAAAUCCACCUGCUUAACAGAUGGGCUGCGGAAGGUACUAUAGAGCUAGGAGGCGGGAGAGGCAAGCGGUACUCGAUGGGUAGGGGUAAAAUCCGUUGAUCCAUUGAAGACCACCAGUGGCGAAGGCGGCUUGCCAGAACGCACUCGACGGUGAGGGAUGAAAGCUGGGGGAGCAAACCGG